CCUUUCUGUAGAAAGAGAUAAUAAAACCAUGUGGAGAAAAGACUCAUAUUUGCUAUCUAGUCAUUUCCAGGGGGGAAUUAAUAUUGCCAAAGGAAACUGACUCACUUUGCUUGAUCAAAGGGAAUUGAAAAGU